rnacentral:tRNA from 1 species
GGAGGUAUAGCUCAAAUGGUAGAGUGCAUGCUUAGCAUGCAUGAGGUCCUGGGUUCAAUCCCCAGUACCUCCU